rnacentral:rRNA from 1 species
AGUGAACGCUGGCGGUAGGCCUAACACAUGCAAGUCGAACGGCAGCACAGUAAGAGCUUGCUCUUACGGGUGGCGAGUGGCGGAAGGGUGAGGUAUACAUCGGAAUCUACUUUUUCGGGGGGGAUAACGUAGGGAAACUUACGCUAAUACCGCAUACGACGUACGGGUGAAAGCAGGGGAUCUUCAGACCUUGCGCGAUUGGAUGAGCCGAUGUCGGAUUAGCUAGUUGGCGGGGUAAAGGCGUACCAAGGCGACGAUCCGCAGCUGGGCUGUGAGGAUGAGCCCCAACACCGGAAGGGAGACACAGUGGGGAAUAUUGGACAAGGGGGGCAAGCCUGAUCCAGCCAUACCGCGGGGGUGAUGAAGGCGUUCGGGUGGGAAAGCCCUGUUGUUGGGAAAGAAAAGCAGCAGGUUAAUACCCCGUGGUUCUGACGGUACCCAAAGAAUAAGCACCGGCUAACUUCGUG